rnacentral:rRNA from 1 species
UGGGGAAUUUUGGACAAUGGGCGAAAGCCUGAUCCAGCAAUGCCGCGUGUGUGAAGAAGGCCUUCGGGUUGUAAAGCGCUUUUGUCCGGAAAGAAAUCCUUGGCUCUAAUACAGUCGGGGGAUGACGGUACCGGAAGAAUAAGCACCGGCUAACUACGUGCCAGCAGCCGCGGUAAUACGUAGGGUGCAAGCGUUAAUCGGAAUUACUGGGCGUAAAGCGUGCGCAGGCGGUUUGCUAAGACCGAUGUGAAAUCCCCGGGCUCAACCUGGGAACUGCAUUGGUGACUGGGCAGGCUAGAGUAUGGCAGAGGGGGGUAGAAUUCCACGUGUAGCAGUGAAAUGCGUAGAGAUGUGGAGGAAUACCGAUGGCGAAGGCAGCCCCCUGGGCCAAUGCUGACGCUCAUGCACGAAAGCGUGGGGAGCAAACAGGAUUAGAUACCCUGGUAGUCCACGCCCUAAACGAUGUCAACUAGUUGUUGGGGGAUUCAUUUCCUUAGUAACGUAGCUAACGCGUGAAGUUGACCGCCU